UUUCCGUGGAAAGACCUAUUGGAUUUCUUCUGAUUAUUAUUUUUUUUUUUUUCUUCCGCCUAAUUUUUUUUCCUUCGCUGUUUUUUUGUUUCGCAAGAUGUCGCUUUGAUAUUUGGAAUAUGAUAUCGAACAGGUAAUACGCUUUUGAAACCAACUCUGCUUAACUGAAUACUUUCCCAUAUAAGAGUUAUCUCCCCGAACACUGUUUUUCUUGUGGCCACUUCUCCUUCGCAACCGUAAAAGAUUACGACAAAUUUAUUUUACCAAAUUGCUCGUUAUAUCCUCAGGAUGUUCUGUUUCAUUUUGACCGAAGCCGUAUAGAGAUUCCAUAUGAGAGUUAGUUCCCCUUUUGUAUUUGAAAUUUUGAAAUGUAUUUUAAACUGGAAAACCAUAAGUGAUAGAGACCUAGGGUCUUUUGAUUUGAGAUCCUUGGUCCAAAAAAAUGAAAAUUAGGUCAAGGUCAAAGGUCAAGGUCAUAUUCUAAAUUUUGAUUUUGGCUUAUUUUCACUCAUUUUCAUUAACCUUAUAAGAUAUCGACAAAUUAUUUUUACUAAAUUGUUAGUUGCGACAUGUCGUAACAUAAUAAUUUUGGUUGAAAGGGUGCGUAGACAAUAAAUGGGAGUUUUAGCCCCUAUCACAUCUAAAAUUAUGCGUAAAGUGAUAUAACUUAUUAACCAUACAUAUUAGAGACCUAGGGUCUUUUGAUUUGAGAUCCUUGGUCCAAAAAAAUGAAAAUUAGGUCAAGGUCAAAGGUCAAGGUCAUAUUCUAAAUUUUUGAUUUUGGCUUAUUUUCACUAAUUUUCAUUAACCUUAUAAGAUAUCAACAAAUUAUUUUUACUAAAUUGUUAGUUGCGACAUGUCGUAACAUUAAUAAUUUUGGUUGAAAGGGUGCGUAGUCAAUAAAUGGGAGUUUUAGCCCCUAUCAUAUCUAAAAUUAUGCGUAAAGUGAUAUAACUUAUUAACCAUACAUAUUAGAGACCUAGGGUCUUUUGAUUUGAGAUCCUUGGUCCAAAAAAAUGAAAAUUAGGUCAAGGUCAAAGGUCAAGGUCAUAUUCUAAAUUUUGAUUUUGGCUUAUUUUCACUAAUUUUCAUAAACCUUAUAAGAUAUCAACAAAUUAUUUUUACUAAAUUGUUAGUUGCGACAUGUCGUUACUUAAUAAUUUUGGUUGAAAGGGUGCGUAGUCAAUAAACAGGAGUUUUAGCCCCUAUCAUAUCUAAAAUUAUGCGUAAAGUGAUAUAACUUAUUUACCAUACAUAUUAGAGACCUAGGGUCUUUUGAUUUGAGAUCCUCAGUUUGUGACCUUGAAAUUGAGGUCAAGGUCAGAGGUAAAUUUGACGUUCUAGAUUAUGACCUUUGCUUAAAAUUCAUAUCUAUACAUCAUAAAGCCAUAGGAACUGACAUUUUAGACUGAUUUUUAAUAUUUUAAUAUCAAAAUAGAUAUUUACUGGUGGAAAGACCUUCAAUUGUUCUCUGAAC
rnacentral:lncRNA from 1 species